rnacentral:lncRNA from 1 species
AUAGAAUUUAUGGAUGUGGUGGUGUUUGUGGUUUAUGUUGUUGCAACUGAGUUUUAAAAACUAUAGGGGUUUCUAUAAUGGUUAUAUUUAUGGGUGGUGGUUGUGGAAUUGGAUUUGGAGUGGUGAAAUUGUUAUAAGAUGGAGAUGGUGUUGGUAAGAUACUUUCAGAAAUAUUAGUAUCAGAAACAAAAAGAGUUAUG